rnacentral:rRNA from 1 species
GAUGAACGCUGGCGGCGUGCCUAAUACAUGCAAGUCGAGCGAACGGACGAGAAGCUUGCUUCUCUGAUGUUAGCGGCGGACGGGUGAGUAACACGUGGAUAACCUACCUAUAAGACUGGGAUAACUUCGGGAAACCGGAGCUAAUACCGGAUAAUAUUUUGAACCGCAUGGUUCAAAAGUGAAAGACGGUCUUGCUGUCACUUAUAGAUGGAUCCGCGCUGCAUUAGCUAGUUGGUAAGGUAACGGCUUACCAAGGCAACGAUGCAUAGCCGACCUGAGAGGGUGAUCGGCCACACUGGAACUGAGACACGGUCCAGACUCCUACGGGAGGCAGCAGUAGGGAAUCUUCCGCAAUGGGCGAAAGCCUGACGGAGCAACGCCGCGUGAGUGAUGAAGGUCUUCGGAUCGUAAAACUCUGUUAUUAGGGAAGAACAUAUGUGUAAGUAACUGUGCACAUCUUGACGGUACCUAAUCAGAAAGCCACGGCUAACUACGUGCCAGCAGCCGCGGUAAUACGUAGGUGGCAAGCGUUAUCCGGAAUUAUUGGGCGUAAAGCGCGCGUAGGCGGUUUUUUAAGUCUGAUGUGAAAGCCCACGGCUCAACCGUGGAGGGUCAUUGGAAACUGGAAAACUUGAGUGCAGAAGAGGAAAGUGGAAUUCCAUGUGUAGCGGUGAAAUGCGCAGAGAUAUGGAGGAACACCAGUGGCGAAGGCGACUUUCUGGUCUGUAACUGACGCUGAUGUGCGAAAGCGUGGGGAUCAAACAGGAUUAGAUACCCUGGUAGUCCACGCCGUAAACGAUGAGUGCUAAGUGUUAGGGGGUUUCCGCCCCUUAGUGCUGCAGCUAACGCAUUAAGCACUCCGCCUGGGGAGUACGACCGCAAGGUUGAAACUCAAAGGAAUUGACGGGGACCCGCACAAGCGGUGGAGCAUGUGGUUUAAUUCGAAGCAACGCGAAGAACCUUACCAAAUCUUGACAUCCUUUGACAACUCUAGAGAUAGAGCCUUCCCCUUCGGGGGACAAAGUGACAGGUGGUGCAUGGUUGUCGUCAGCUCGUGUCGUGAGAUGUUGGGUUAAGUCCCGCAACGAGCGCAACCCUUAAGCUUAGUUGCCAUCAUUAAGUUGGGCACUCUAAGUUGACUGCCGGUGACAAACCGGAGGAAGGUGGGGAUGACGUCAAAUCAUCAUGCCCCUUAUGAUUUGGGCUACACACGUGCUACAAUGGACAAUACAAAGGGCAGCGAAACCGUGAGGUCAAGCAAAUCCCAUAAAGUCGUUCUCAGUUCGGACUGUAGUCUGCAACUCGACUACAUGAAGCUGGAAUCGCUAGUAAUCGUAGAUCAGCAUGCUACGGUGAAUACGUUCCCGGGUCU